AACGUAGGAGACAAACGUUAUCCGGAAUUACUGGGCGUAAAGGGCUCGUAGGUGGCCAACUAAGUCGGACGUGAAAUCCCUCGGCUUAACCGGGGAACUGCGUCCGAUACUGGUUGGCUUGAGUUUGGGAGAGGGAUGCGGAAUUCCAGGUGUAGCGGUGAAAUGCGUAGAUAUCUGGAGGAAUACCGGUGGCGAAGGCGGCAUCCUGGACCGGCAUUGACGCUGAGGAGCGAAAGCCAGGGGAGCAAACGGG
rnacentral:rRNA from 1 species